rnacentral:siRNA from 1 species
CUGAGUUUAAGCAUAUCAAUAAGC